AACGCACAUUGCGCCCGGUGGUAUUCUGCCGGGCAUGCCUGUUCGAGCGUCAUUUCUUCCCUCAGGCCCUGCCGCUCAGCGGUAGAAGGGUUCUGGUUUUGGGGCAUGCAGCACCCGCUGCAGCCCCCAAUUGCAUCGGCGUACACUGUAUGCUGCCCCCUGCGUAGUGGUUACUUCUCGCAUCGGGCCGUGCCGUAGUGCUGCCGCAACACCUAUUCUUUCUAAGUUUGACCUCGGAUCAGGUAGGGUUACCCGCUGAACUUAA
rnacentral:misc_RNA from 1 species